rnacentral:rRNA from 1 species
GUGCCAGCAGCCGCGGUAAUUCCAGCUCCAAUAGCGUAUAUUAAAGUUGUUGUGGUUAAAAAGCUCGUAGUUGAACCUUGGGCCUGGCUGGCCGGUCCGCCUCACCGCGUGCACUGGUCCGGCCGGGCCUUUCCCUCUGUGGAACCCCAUACCCUUCACUGGGCGUGGCGGGGAAACAGGACAUUUACUUUGAAAAAAUUAGAGUGCUCCAGGCAGGCCUAUGCUCGAAUACAUUAGCAUGGAAUAAUAAAAUAGGACGCGCGGUUCUAUUUUGUUGGUUUAUAGGACCGCCGUAAUGAUUAAUAGGGACAGUCGGGGGCAUCAGUAUUCAACUGUCAGAGGUGAAAUUCUUGGAUCAGUUGAAGACAAACUACUGCGAAAGCAUUUGCCAAGGAUGUUUUCAUUAAUCAGGAACGAAAGUUAGGGGAUCGAAGACGAUCAGAUACCGUCGUAGUCUUAACCAUAAACUAUGCCGACUAGGGAUCGGACGGUGUUAUUCAUGACCCGUUCGGCACCUUACGAGAAAUCAAAGUGCUUGGGCUCCAGGGGGAGUAUGGUCGCAAGGCUGAAACUUAAAGAAAUUGACGGAAGGGCACCACCAGGGGUGGAGCCUGCGGCUUAAUUUGACUCAACACGGGGAAACUCACCAGGUCCAGACACAAUAAGGAUUGACAGAUUGAGAGCUCUUUCUUGAUUUUGUGGGUGGUGGUGCAUGGCCGUUCUUAGUUGGUGGGGUGACUUGUCUGCUUAAUUGCGAUAACGAACGAGACCUUAACCUGCUAAAUAGCCCGCAUUGCUCCGGCAG